rnacentral:misc_RNA from 1 species
CUUUUUUCUUAGGUUUAUUAAAUUUCUCAAUUGUUGUUUCUAAAAAUUUCUAGAACCCACCUCACUUAAUUUCUCUCUUUGUCUCUCCUCCUCCUCCUCCUACUUUCUUUAUAAAGUCCCGUACACGAAACCAUAAGAAAAAAUAUUUCCGAGGGGAUUCUGAGAGAAGUUAUGGUCUCGGGCUUGUGGGUUUUUACUCAAUCCAUAGAAUUCAUCUUGGCAGCUCACAUCCAUGGAAGCAGAUAGACAGAAGCUCUGUGAUAAUCUUGUUGGUUCUAAAUUCUUUCUUUC